GUGGGGAAUAUUGGGCAAUGGGCGAAAGCCUGACCCAGCAACGCCGCGUGAAGGAAGAAGGUCUUCGGAUCGUAAACUUCUAUCCUUGGUGAAGAUAAUGACGGUAGCCGAGAAGGAAGCCCCGGCUAACUACGUGCCAGCAGCCGCGGUAAUACGUAGGGGGCAAGCGUUGUCCGGAAUGAUUGGGCGUAAAGGGCGCGUAGGCGGCCUGGUAAGUCUGGAGUGAAAGUCCUGCUGUUAAGGUGGGAAUUGCUUUGGAUACUGUCGGGCUUGAGUGCAGGAGAGGUAAGUGGAAUUCCCGGUGUAGCGGUGAAAUGCGUAGAGAUCGGGAGGAACACCAGUGGCGAAGGCGACUUACUGGACUGUAACUGACGCUGAGGCGCGAAAGUGUGGGGAGCAAACAGGAUUAGAAACCCUUGUAGUCC
rnacentral:rRNA from 1 species